CAAAAAAGACUCCUUCAAAAACUGGAAACUAGAUCAAAUUACAAAAAGGAUGAAUAUAAACAACACAAGUAUGUAGACACAAAAUUAGAAAGGCCAAGGCACAAAACAAGAUCAUACUAGCUGGAGACAUAAAGGAUAACCAGAAAACAUUCUACAAAUACAUUAGAAGCAAGAGGAAGACCAAGGACAGGGUAGGCCUUUUACUUCUUGGGG